GACGUAGGACGCAAGCGUUAUCCGGAGUUACUGGGCGUAAAGCGCGGGCAGGCGGCUAGAAACGUCUGAUGUGAAAUCUCCUCGCUCAACGGGGAGAGGCCAUUGGAAACGGUCGGGCUGGAGGGCAGUAGAGGUAGGCGGAAUUCCGGGUGGAGUGGUGAAAUGCGUAGAGAUCCGGAGGAACACCAGAGGCGAAGGCGGCCUACUGGGCUGCACCUGACGCUGAGCCGCGAAAGCCAGGGGAGCGAACGGG
rnacentral:rRNA from 1 species